GAUGAACGCUAGCGGCAGGCUUAACACAUGCAAGUCGAGGGGCAACACGGGUAGCAAUACCUGGUGGCGACCGGCGCAAGGGUGCGUAACGCGUGAGCAACAUACCCUAUACAGGGGGAUAAUCCAGGGAAACUUGGUCUAAUAUCCCAUAGGAUUUACAGAUGUCAUCAUCUAUAAAUUAAAGCUUCGGUGGUAUAGGAUUGGCUCGCGUGACAUUAGCUAGAUGGUGGGGUAACGGCCUACCAUGGCCAUGAUGUCUAGGGGUUCUGAGAGGAAGACCCCCCCAACUGGGACUGAGACACGGCCCAGACUCCUACGGGAGGCAGCAGUGAGGAAUAUUGGACAAUGGGAUGGGAAAUCUGAUCCAGCCAUGCCGCGUGCAGGAAGACGGCCCUAUGGGUUGUAAACUGCUUUUAAUGGGAGCAAUAAGGUCUAACGCGUAGACCGAUGAGAGUACCAUAUGAAUAAGCAUCGGCUACG
rnacentral:rRNA from 1 species